CUGCCAGAGCCCAGCCAGGGGUCAGGCUCAUCUGGUGCUUGCCUGCUCCACCAGGAUGUUACUGCUGGUGGUCCCCUGACCCACUCCAUCACAGCCUGGUUGAUCCAGCACCUGGUGAAGCUUGCCACCAUGAAGCUCCUCCUAUACUUCUGCAGAUGCCCCUGACUCUCCUUCCUCCAGUGCUACAGUCUUUGGGUCUUUGAUAGAAGAUAAAUGUCAUUUUAAUUCAAAUAUAGGUUUAUGCUGAACACUAUAAGGUGGAUCAUUAAAAAAAAAUUUCAAAUACCAAUAAAUUCUCAUUCAUAAAUCAAGCAUUUGGAAUGACUAAUUUGAUCUUAGGAUUUCAAAUAAAAAAUUUGAGGCUUGUAAACACACAUAAGUGGGAUUAUGAACAGGCCCCUGACUGUCUUCAAGAAGGUGCUGGACAGGCACCUAAAGUCAAUACCUGACCAACCGGGCUGUGGUUAGUACGUCAAUUUAUGUGCAACCAGCAGUAACAGCCUGGUUGAUCAGGCUCUGAUCUACCAUGAGGACUGGUCACAGACCAGGCUGCAGUGGAUACACAAUAUUCUUUUAUACUCACACAUAACAACUUUAGUUAAGAAUCCUAAUAAAUAUACCCAACACCAAAAUGUCACAUUCUUCAACUUUACCAAGUUAUCUUAUGUUAUCAUUACAUGAAUAUGCAUAACCAUAACAUGUGUGAGCCAUUAUAACUUUUACACACAUUAAUAGUAUUCUCUGCCAAAACUUUUAUACAAAUCCCUAAAUAAUAAUAACACACAAUGUAAGUACAUCACACUGAUUUAACUGGGUUACCGAUGUAUGCACUUACAUCGUGAAUUUUUUUUUAUGUAAUCAGCAAUGCAAGUUACAGUGAUUUAACUCUGUUAUCAAAUUUUAUUUCUUUGCAAGAUUACAUUGAGAUUAUGAAAUUACAAUAAUGAGUUGCAGUGCAAAGAGAGCCACUAUCAUGCCUUGGCAUUAUGGGCAGACUUAAUUUAAUGGCUUACAGAUUAUAUCUGUUUCUAUAUCAACAUUUUAUACUUAUGUGACCAUAUUAUACCAUAGUCAAUUGUGUUCAUUAUUCUCUGUUAUACAGACAAAGUUCAAUAAAUUCUUGUCUUUGUU